rnacentral:sRNA from 1 species
UUUAAUAUAUAUAUAAAAAAAAGAAAGCAACUUUAUAUUUAUAUUUUGUUCUAAUUUCCAGAAAAGUACAGACCUUUGUUUUCCUCAAGACACCUGUGGACUUAAUGUUUGUCAAAAGGAUCAGACUGACCUAGCAGACUUCUCCAGUCUUGGGGAUGAAAAUCAAGAUACAGAUUCUUAUCAUUUCACCAGUGACCAGUUCAAAGUCCAGUCAGAUGAGGUUGAAGGUCCACUAAUUGGUGAUCAUGAAACUCAGGAGUCAGAAGGUGGAGAAGCUGAUCUACACAAAUAUCUUGUGGGGUGUGAGAAGAAUCCAGGUCAUAGCCAUUUUAUACCUGUUGAUACAUUCACCUUGAAACAUUUACCUAAAGGUCUUCAAGACAAUGAUUUGUAUGAAUACAUCAAAGUUACAGCUGACCUCACAGUUAGAGUGGAUGUUAGACAGAUCAGUCCACACAGACCAGAGUUUUGGCCAGAGACAACUCGACUAUAUCCAUUUUCUAACAUGAGUGAGAGAAGAAACUUGAGGACAGGGAGUGGAAGAGUGUGGUAUGUAAACAAGUUUCAAGAUGGAGUCAGACAACAUGGAGGUUAUGGACGUACUGCCUACACAAAGUGUUGGUGUAGAAAAUGUGAAGGUUCAA